AUUGAACGCUGGCGGCAUGCUUUACACAUGCAAGUCGAACGGUAACAGGCCGCAAGGUGCUGACGAGUGGCGAACGGGUGAGUAAUGCAUCGGAACGUGGCCAGUCGUGGGGGAUAACGCAGCGAAAGCUGCGCUAAUACCGCAUACGAUCUGUGGAUGAAAGCGGGGGACCUUCGGGCCUCGCGCGAUUGGAGCGGCCGAUGUCAGACUAGGUAGUUGGUGGGGUAAAGGCUCACCAAGCCGACGAUCUGUAGCUGGUCUGAGAGGACGACCAGCCACACUGGGACUGAGACACGGCCCAGACUCCUACGGGAGGCAGCAGUGGGGAAUUUUGGACAAUGGGGGCAACCCUGAUCCAGCAAUGCCGCGUGCAGGAAGAAGGCCUUCGGGUUGUAAACUGCUUUUGUACGGAACGAAAAGGCUCUGGUUAAUACCUGGGGCACAUGACGGUACCGUAAGAAUAAGCACCGGCUAACUACGUGCCUGCCGCCGCAGUAAGAC
rnacentral:rRNA from 1 species